rnacentral:lncRNA from 1 species
UGGAGGAGAAUUGGAGCUGGGAGACAACAUUUCUUAGAGUGUGUUAAAUAGGAGAUUGGUAGGGGAGAUAGAAUUCAUUUUUGGGAGGAUGUGUGGCUUGGGGAGAGGAGUCUCAAGGACCUAUUUUCAAGAGUUUAUGCCAUUGCACAAAGGAAGAAUGUGGUGGUGGAGGAGGUCUUUAGAGAGAGGGAAGGUAGGGGUGGAUUGAAUUUGUUCCUGACAAAGAUAUCUUAAUGAUUGGGAGAUUGAUGAGUUUGUGGCGCUUCUUCAUCUUUUGUCUAGCAUGCAUUUGAAUGAUACACGUG